rnacentral:tmRNA from 1 species
GGGGGCGACCAGCUUCGACAUGAGUCAGUUUCGCCCGAGUAGCAAGCCAUGGUUGACCAGGCCAUGUAAAAAAUGGUCAAAACAACAACUGCCAACUCGAACGAGAUGGCUUGGGCUCACGCUUAAGUGAGCCUCGCUAUUGAUUCUGCGCCUGCGGGAAUCAAAUAGCGUCACUCAGCAGGAUGCUGUACGCCUGUGUUUUUCCGUGCGGGCGUGCAAAAGACAAUACGGAAAUAGAGCGGUUUUUGCCGGUCCUGAGCUUAUAAACCGUUCGAAUACCAAUUCGGGACUAAGCUUGUAGCGACUCUGACGAGCGGCUUGUGGACCCGGGUGCGAAUCCCGGCGCCUCCAUUA